CAUACAGCUCAGUAACACGUGGCUAACCUGCCCUUGGGACCAGAAUACCCCCGGGAAACUGGGGCUAAUUCUCGAUAGGCGAAGAACUCUGGAAUGAGUCUUCACUUAAAAGAGAUUGCGUUAUGCUCGUAGUUUCGCCCAAGGAUGGGGCCGCGACCGAUCAGGUUGUUGGUGAGGUAAUGGCUCACCAAGCCUUUUACCGGUGCGGGCCGUGGGAGCGGGAGCCCGGAGAUGGGCACUGAGACAAGGGCCCAGGCCCUACGGGGCGCAGCAGUCGCGAAAACUUUGCAAUAAGCGAAAGCUUGACAGGGCUAUCCCGAGUGCCAUCCGCUGAGGAAGGCUUUUACCCAGUCUAGAACGCUGGGGGAAUAAGGAGAGGGCAAGUCUGGUGUCAGCCGCCGCGGUAAUACCAGCUCUCCGAGUGGUGUGGAUGUUUAUUGGGCCUAAAACAUCCGUAACUGGGCUAGUUAGUCCCCUGUUAAAUCCACCAAAUCAAUCGUUGGAUUGCGGGGCAAUCCGGUUUGACUAGGGGAGGAACACAGGCACAAGGGUUUUUCCAGGU
rnacentral:rRNA from 1 species